rnacentral:lncRNA from 1 species
AUGUUUAUCAAGUAUGAUUGCAGAGAGAAUUCAGUGCUGGUGGAAGUGACUGGAUUCACAGCUGUGGAAAUGGAGAUGGAGACACCCUGUCUCAUGCAGCAACUGUCUGAAGGACUGCUGCAGGACCAUGCACUGCCCUUCAUCUGCUCCCUGGCAAGGCCAGGAAACCUGCUCAUGUCACCCCAUGGACCAGUUCCUGUAGGCAUUAUCUGCAGACUCUGUCAACAACAGCUUGCAAUUUCAUUCUUGCAGCUACAGCGCUGGACGUGUGGGGAUUUAAUGAGAAAUUCAGUCAUCGUCCCGAAAACCAAAUUGCGUUUAAAAUACAUUUCCACCCUGCCCUGCCAUCUUGCUUCUGUUUAGUGUGUAGACAGCUCUAUGCAUAAGGGAAUCAAACUCCUCGGUGCCCUCUGCAUCCCUCGACCUGAGUCACAGCCUUUGCAGCAGGAAAAAAUGCAGGUCCUUGCCUCAAUUUGCAGAGCAGAUUUUGAGAGCAAACCUGUCAUCACCAGUGCCCUAAGCUGAUAAUGUGUAUGGUGAGCAUGGGGAGGUUAAGAUGAGGACAUCUGGUUUGUUCUAUUUCUGGUACAAGAACAAUAUCCACCCGUCAAGGGGGAGGGCAGACAGUUCAGCAUGGUGGCAUCUCUAGCCAGCUAAAUACAACUGGGCUAUGAGUCAGUUGUCUUUCUAGCAUGGCAUCAGACAAAUAUCUGAACUGUAGCAUACAAAGGGUCCUUUGUUUCUAUUUUAAGAGCUGUGUGAACAGAGCUAGAAUACUGCAGCUAUUUUCCACUAUGGUUUAUCCCUUCACACAGUUAGAGUCUGCUCUGAUCAGGCAACAAAAUCCCAGGCUUGGAAAAAUCCUCGCCUCAUGAUCAGUAAAUUCUGCUGAGAGUAAAGCAAGGUACAAACAUGAAGAAAAAAAAAAAGAGUUGGUGGAGUGGGCGCAGAGAAAUAAAAAGAGAAAGCAGUGCAGAAGACGUCAAAAGUCAUAACUGGAAAGGAAGGAAGAUAUCAAGAAAUGCAAUUGCAAAUCAGAGGAGAGACUGGAUAAAAACAAGGCAUAGCAAGAUCUGUUAUUAAAGAAAAUGUACAGACCCAUAAAAGUGGUUGGGAGGAAAUGACAGCCUGGCUUCAAAAAAGCUAAUGCUGCUGGUCUUGAGUUGCACCAGCGGAGGUUCAGGUUGGAUAUGAGGAAAAAUUUCUUCUCAGAAAGAGUGAUAAUGCACUGGCACAGGUUGCCCAGGGAGGUGGUGGAGUCACUGUCCCUGAGGUGCUCAAGAGCCAUGGAGAUGUGGCACUAAGGGACAUGGUUAGUGGGGGACGAUGGUUUGCUGGUUGGACUCCACGAUCUUAGUAUUUUGUUGGUUUUGUUGUGGUUUUUUUUUCAUAUCUUAAUGAUUUUCUGAUGAUUUUAUAAUUCUUUAGAUCAGCUGGACCUGUCAUGGCCCAGCCUCAAUGGCAGGGCACCUCUGGCCUGGAGAAAAAGCUCCAGGUGAGACCCAACAUCUUUUUUGGUGAAAGCUCCCCUCUAGGAAGUGGUUCCAAUCCCCCAGUGCCGAAUGUCUGAAUGUCUCUGGGCCCCACCAGAAAAGGAACCACCAGCAAGAAAGGAGGUCUUUUCCACCUGCAGUCUGCCUGGCUCCAGAUCUUCUCCUCUGCUUCUCACAGAAAUGAGCUUUUUCUUCAUGCCAGGCUAAAAACCUGCAGGUCUUUCUUCCUAACUUCUGAAUUUCAUGAAGCAACCUGAGAAAUGUGGAGUCUCUGAUGCUGUUUCCUGAGGCAAAGCAUUUAAUUCUGCAGCACAAUGAUCUUUUGAAGUCUGUUAAAAAAUGGCCCAUUCUGCUCCAAAGGCAGGAAGUAAAACUUAAGGCGUCAAAUCAUAGUACUGCCAUUCACCAAAGGCAGACAGCACAAUUCAAAAGACUGACAAUAACAUCCUGCAAAUAGUAAUAUUUUUUUUUCUCAGAAUUUGUCCAUAAUUGACUAAUUUCCAGCAGGGAAAAGAAAUAAUGAGAAGCUGCUCAUCUCUUGGCCCAGGCCAGCAGCAAUGCUGUGGGCUGUAGCUAGCUAGCAAAUUGCACCAGCUCAGUCCCUCCAGGGCUAGGUUUUAAGUGUUAAGCUCUUGCAGCUCUGCCACCACUGGAGUGUGCCUGUGGGACCUUGUUCCAAAUCUUUGCAGCACGUCAUUUGCCCCCGAGAGAGUAUUUCUUGUUUAUGUUUCAGAGAAAAUGUUGCUUUUUUUUCUCCCAAUCAAUUCCCUAACAUAAACGUCCUUGGCGCAGAAUUUCUAACAUUGACAACACUGUACAUCUUUACCUCUCCAGGGUAUUGCUUUCUUCUUUGCAAUAAAAUAGGUCUGCUGCAGUGGGAAAAUUCCCAACCUUAACUUACACACAGCAGCUCUUCUUUUCUUGGGAAGCAAUAAAGAGAUACACUAGCAACUGUUCUCUGUAUUUAUUUUAUUAUUCACACAAAUGUGAAUCACUAAUCAGCAUCUAUCUUAAAUCACCAUAAACUUCCCGACUAGCUUGCUUUGUCUUUUUCUCCAGGCAGCCAGCCCAGCUGGUUCCCAUAGGUACUAGCAAAAUAAAUCCCUGGGAGAGAGAUCUAACAUUUGAUUCUUGCAAGCAAAAGCUUCUAGUACUACAGCCCAAUAAAACAUCAGUCAGCGCCUGGCAGUGUUUCUUUCUUCUGCUGCAUCAGCCCAGCCCCUCCCUGAUCUGCAUUCCCUCCAGCAGGCAGAAGUCUAAUUGAAAUAUUGACCAAAAUAAAACCAAUUCCCAUAAAUAUGUACUGUUACCAUGAGCUAUAAUUUUGUUCAUUCAUUAUUACUCACAGUGACAGCCUGAGCCCAGGAUGAGUAAGGGCUGCGAUGGCAGCCUUCAAGGAUGGUCCGUCCCUUUUCACAGGGGUUCUGUACUCGUGCAGCAUGUAAAGAGAGGGCAACAUCAGCUGGGAGAGCUCUGCUGGCAGUAAUGGCACCGCAUUGAUUUUUGCUCAUUGAGCUCCAAGCUCCUCAUGCUGAAAGGGAGAAUGUUGCCAUCUGCAUUGCAUAUCCGGGGGCUUUUUAAGCUCCCUUCAUUAGGUCGUACUUAGAGACAAUGCUCGCUCUUGAUUCAGAAGCUAUGCACAAACAUCUUAAAUGCAUUCACCAAGCUUCUCCCUGUGGACAAAAGACAGCUCUAAGGGCAGAAACUGGAACAUGACUGGUGUCACAGCCCAUCUCCGUCACACACCUGUCACUGUAUGUGACAGAGAAGAAAAUAGGACCUGGGACAGUACUUUGUGAUAGAAUAAGGUGUUGUAGAUAUUUGUUGUUCAACUCUGGGACCAAACAGCCUUCAAGAGAAAAGACUGACCGUGUGCUAAAUUGCACACUGCCUGCUUCUGUUCCUCUUGGGUUGCUUCCUGAGCUGGCCCAAAUGUGCUGUCUGAAAAAUGACUGACAGGGAGGCUUGAAGGGAAAGAGAAUAGGAGAUGGAGUAUCCUGCUGCCAUUUGUGACAGCCAGGGAGGGCUGUAACACGCACUGCAGGCUGCAUCAGCUCCAGAUGAGUGGCUACACCUUAGUGGAACAGCAGCAUUUCACCUGUGUUCCUUGACAAAACAUAUGAAUAUCAAUAACUGCAGGAAGCAGCAGCCCUUCAGGCUCCUGGCUGAGUUCUGAUAAGCGGCUCUGUGUCAGUUUGGAUCUGCUUUUGGCCUUUACCAGAUGGGAGAAACCGAAUGUGUAAGGAUGCCAAAGAAGAGCCAUGUCAUGGAUGUUGGGAAAGGAUGGAGGUCUGACUGCACCUUGGCCCAGGAGAGGAGUUUUCAGUGAAGAGGAGAGGUACUGGAUGACUGCAGCAGGGUAUAUUUUCCUGUCCAACAACACCAGGUAGCCACAGAUUGAGUCAUUCUGCAUGGCAGAGCAUUUAGAAUAUUGGAGGUUAUCGCUCAUGUGAUGCUGGAUGCAGCUCAGGUGGUGUGAGGAAGGAUGCUGAUGUCUGCUGGGAGACUCACAUGUGGUGGGGGCCUCCCAAAAGGCUGAUCUCAUGGCAGAGCAGGUGCUGCAGACGGCUGUACUAUGGUUUUCUGUGUAUGAUUCCCACCCCCAGCCACUUUAAAGCCAGGCAUAAGUGAGAAGCCCAGCCCAUCUGGCUUUUGUCCUACUUUCUUUUACUUGUAUUUUGACAGUGUUCAUAUUCUGGAUGUUUUUUGCAGUCAUUGUUUAGCUAGAAUGUGCCACUAGUUAUUUUUGCUACAAUCUCAAUGAAGCAAGCUUUAAAGAGUGAAGGAUGAAAGCAGAAGGAAAGAAAUACAAAUGGAAGAAUAAAAGGUAAUCAUGCUCUUAUGAAUUGGAGUUCUGAUGUUUUAUGAGUACUGUUAGAGACGUGUAAAAUGCAAUUUAUCUUGAUGAAUAGAAAUAGCCAUACGUUUUCCUAUAAACUAAGUUCAAGCAAGGCAGUGGAGCACUGGACGGGGAGCUGGAAUGCUCAUCUCUCCUCUGCACAGCCAAAAAUGACACAGUGCUCAUGCAGACAGAGCCUGAUUGCUUUAGCAGAGGCAGAUAGAUUCUCAUGCAGCAUCCAUCUACCACCUGUGCAAGGGGUCUCAGUGUCUCUGGCAGGGGUGAUCAUCAAAUUAUAGAAUGGCCUAGGUUGGAUGGGACCUUAAAGAUCAUCCAGUUCCAACUCCAUUUCCAUGGACAGGAUUUUCCUCCACCAGCUCAGGCUGCCCAGGGCCCCAUCCAUGGCCUCGGGCACCUCCAGGGAUGGGACACCCACAGCUCACUGGGCAGCACUGCCAGAGCCUCACUGCCCUUGGAGUAAAGAAUUUCCUCAUAACAUCUAACCUAGAUUUCCCCUCUUUUAGUUUAAAGCCAUUCCCCUUUGUCCUAUCACUAUCAGACUAUGUAAAAACUCAGUCUUAACCCUACUGCUUAUAAGCUCCCUGGAGUUAUCUCUGGAUAUAUCUCUGUCAAUGAAACUCCAAGCAGUGAAAUGCUCCUGAAAGAGGGUGAAGCUGCAGACCAGACAGUGUAAGCAGGAUGCACUAUUACAGCAUCCUACAUUACAGGCCUCAGCAUCUUUCAAAACAUGACAUCUGCUCAACUCUGCUGUGUCUGCCCUCAGGAAGCACAGCGAUGCCACGAGCCCAG